rnacentral:rRNA from 1 species
GGAUGAACGCUAGCUACAGGCUUAACACAUGCAAGUCGAGGGGCAGCAUGGUCUUAGCUUGCUAAGGCCGAUGGCGACCGGCGCACGGGUGAGUAACACGUAUCCAACCUGCCGUCUACUCUUGGACAGCCUUCUGAAAGGAAGAUUAAUACAAGAUGGCAUCAUGAGUCCGCAUGUUCACAUGAUUAAAGGUAUUCCGGUAGACGAUGGGGAUGCGUUCCAUUAGAUAGUAGGCGGGGUAACGGCCCACCUAGUCUUCGAUGGAUAGGGGUUCUGAGAGGAAGGUCCCCCACAUUGGAACUGAGACACGGUCCAAACUCCUACGGGAGGCAGCAGUGAGGAAUAUUGGUCAAUGGGCGAGAGCCUGAACCAGCCAAGUAGCGUGAAGGAUGACUGCCUUAUGGGUUGUAAACUUCUUUUAUAAAGGAAUAAAGUCGGGUAUGGAUACCCGUUUGCAUGUACUUUAUGAAUAAGGAUCGGCUAACUCCGUGCCAGCAGCCGCGGUAAUACGGAGGAUUCGAGCGUUAUCCGGAUUUAUUGGGUUUAAAGGGAGCGUAGAUGGAUGUUUAAGUCAGUUGUGAAAGUUUGCGGCUCAACCGUAAAAUUGCAGUUGAUACUGGAUAUCUUGAGUGCAGUUGAGGCAGGCGGAAUUCGUGGUGUAGCGGUGAAAUGCUUAGAUAUCACGAAGAACUCCGAUUGCGAAGGCAGCCUGCUAAGCUGCAACUGACAUUGAGGCUCGAAAGUGUGGGUAUCAAACAGGAUUAGAUACCCUGGUAGUCCACACGGUAAACGAUGAAUACUCGCUGUNUGCGAUAUACGGCAAGCGGCCAAGCGAAAGCGUUAAGUAUUCCACCUGGGGAGUACGCCGGCAACGGUGAAACUCAAAGGAAUUGACGGGGGCCCGCACAAGCGGAGGAACAUGUGGUUUAAUUCGAUGAUACGCGAGGAACCUUACCCGGGCUUAAAUUGCAGAUGAAUUACGGUGAAAGCCGUAAGCCGCAAGGCAUCUGUGAAGGUGCUGCAUGGUUGUCGUCAGCUCGUGCCGUGAGGUGUCGGCUUAAGUGCCAUAACGAGCGCAACCCUUGUUGUCAGUUACUAACAGGUUCUGCUGAGGACUCUGACAAGACUGCCAUCGUAAGAUGUGAGGAAGGUGGGGAUGACGUCAAAUCAGCACGGCCCUUACGUCCGGGGCUACACACGUGUUACAAUGGGGGGUACAGAGGGCCGCUACCACGCGAGUGGAUGCCAAUCCCAAAAACCUCUCUCAGUUCGGACUGGAGUCUGCAACCCGACUCCACGAAGCUGGAUUCGCUAGUAAUCGCGCAUCAGCCACGGCGCGGUGAAUACGUUCCCGGGCCUUGUACACACCGCCCGUCAAGCCAUGGGAGCCGGGGGUACCUGAAGUGCGUAACCGCGAGGAGCGCCCUAGGGUA